CAAUUGAACAUCAGAGGCGUCUUCCCGAUUUGACAAGCUCUCUGUGAUUAUCAUGUCGAGGGUAGAGACCGGGUUGCAGAUGGAAAUCGAAUGCAAUUGGGAGACAAAUUCGAAAGGUUUGCUCCUGUAUAAAUGGAGAGGCGCCGUCUCUGUUUCUGCACUCCACCUUGAUCGAGAGCGCACAUUGGGUCUUGAAUCAGGUCUUGGACUUUCCUCCACCACAAACUCUAAGAUACCGUUUGAAGAGGUAGAUUUGCAGUAGGCUUGUAGACACUUCCUUGUAGACCUUGUAUUUGAGACUUUGGGUGCGGCUUCUGUACUUGUAAGACCUCCUGACGAUCAUAUCUUCAUACUUCUGAAGCCUUUGUUAUUCUGUGCAAUUCUUGAAUACUCCUCCGAUACCAAACCGACGUGGUCUUUUGAGAGGUUAUCUUGAUAUCAAAACAUGGCGGCACCGAAUGUAUUUGCAGAUGCCUUGUCUUCUUCUCUGUAUUGCGGCUUGUUGCCUUGCUGACUGCCACCACACAAGAAGCAGGAAUUUUGAUGCAUCUUCCGUGGAUUCUUUUGGCUUGCUGUAGUUGUCAUGGCACUGGUUGUAGACUAGAAGCAGGAACUUUGACGCAUCUUUUGGGACUGCUGUGGCCUGUUCCUUUCUUCUUCAGUUGCAGCAAAUUGUAUGCACGCUGGCAUUUGCUGUGAGUACAUCGGGGACAUCUUCGUCGGAGUACGACUUGAGCCACUUCUUUGGUGCAUGACUAUGAUGUCCUUGCUGCAGUGAAGAGCCAUUGGCGAGGUUUUCAUGGAACUUUAUCAGACGAGUUUUGUCGCAGCUUUAGUCUUGUUGAAUCCGGAGCAUUGGCAUUUGUUGUGAACACGGGGGCAGCUUCAUUGAGAUAUUAGACUUCGUCUUCACUGCUUUUAUUUGUUGUAGAUGACUUGAGGAGUCACUUCUUUGAUGCCUGACUG